rnacentral:rRNA from 1 species
GAUGAACGCUGGCGGCGUGCCUAAUACAUGCAAGUCGAGCGAACAGACGAGGAGCUUGCUCCUCUGACGUUAGCGGCGGACGGGUGAGUAACACGUGGAUAACCUACCUAUAAGACUGGGAUAACUUCGGGAAACCGGAGCUAAUACCGGAUAAUAUAUUGAACCGCAUGGUUCAAUAGUGAAAGACGGUUUUGCUGUCACUUAUAGAUGGAUCCGCGCCGCAUUAGCUAGUUGGUAAGGUAACGGCUUACCAAGGCGACGAUGCGUAGCCGAACUGAGAGGGUGAUCGGCCACACGGGAGCUGGGACACGGUCCAGACUCCUACGGGAGGCAGCAGUAGGGAAUCUUCCGCAAAGGGCGAAAGCCUGACGGAGCAACGCCGCGUGAGUGAUGAAGGUCUUCGGAUCGUAAAACUCUGUUAUGAGGGAAGAACAAAUGUGUAAGUAACUAUGCACGUAUUGACGGUACCUAAUCAGAAAGCCACGGCUAACUACGUG